AUUGAACGCUGGCGGCAGGCCUAACACAUGCAAGUCGAACGAGUGGCGGACGGGAGAGUAAUGUCUGGGAAAAUGCCUGAUGGAUGGGGAUAACUACUGGUAGCGGUAGCUAAUUACGCAUACAAUCAGAUGUGCCCAGAUGGGAUUAGCUAGUUGGUGGGGUAACGGCGCACCAAGGCGACGAUCCCUAGCUGGUCUGAGAGGAUGACCAGCCACACUGGAACUGAGACACGGUCCAGACUCCUACGGGAGGCAGCAGUGGGGAAUAUUGCACAAUGGGCGCAAGCCUGAUGCAGCCAUGCCGCGUGUAUGAAGAAGGCCUUCGGGUUGUAAAGUACUUUCAGCAGGGAGGCGUUACCCGCAGAAGAAGCACCGGCUAACUCCGUGCCAGCAGCCGCGGUAAUUC
rnacentral:rRNA from 1 species